CAAUAGCGUAUAUUUAAGUUGUUGCAGUUAAAAAGCUCGUAGUCGGAUUUUGGCUGAGAACGAUCGGUCCGCCGUUAGGUGUGCACUGAUUGGUCUCAGCUUCCUGGUGAGGAGGUGUGCUUCACGGCCACUUAGUCACCGUGGUUACUUUGAAAAAAUUAGAGUGUUCAAAGCGGGCUUACGCUUGAAUAUAUUAGCAUGGAAUAACGCCAUAGGACUCCUGUCCUAUUUCGUUGGUCUCGGGACGGGAGUAAUGAUUAAGAGGAACAGUUGGGGGCAUUCGUAUUUCAUUGUCAGAGGUGAAAUUCUUGGAUUUAUGAAAGACGAACUUCUGCGAAAGCAUUUGCCAAGGAUGUUUUCAUUGA
rnacentral:rRNA from 1 species